GUCAUUUACUCAUCUGGACAAGGUGCUUGUUGGAUAUCAGGUUUUUGCUACUUAACGACUGAGUUUUCCUUGCACUCUACAUAGAUCACAAGACACAGACAGCUCCGAACGGUGAAUCACCCGGAUCCAAAAUCAUGGAUUUGAUCAAUUAUUUGUCGGCAGAGGAAUGGCAAACUGCAGAAGGAGGGAAUUUAGAAGGUUUUGAAGAAUACCGCAUCAUCCGUCGAGCCUCAGAGGGUCAAGGCAAGUAUAAAUAUUCUGCCUUCGAUCCGAAAAAGGAAGUUCCUGUGGAGCUUCACAUUACCGGAGCAUCCGAAUCUAGAGAUCCCUUGAAAGAAAUCCAAGUUAUAAAUCUGCGCGUCGAUGGUGACAAAUUUAUUACAGGGAUAGACGACAAUGGAGAUUGUGUUGUCAAGAAAUGAGCGCACCCUUAAAUACUUACUUGAAAAUUGUUGAUAUACUAAGAGAAUAGCUGAAUUGUAACAGUUAAUAACUCGCUUUCAUAGUAUCCGAUACCACAUACUGCGGACGAGAUUCUUUAGUCAAGUUAUUUUACGAAAGUCUGAGUAGUUAUUCCGACUAAAUUUCUAUGACAACCCCUAAAGAUUAAAGGUCAAUGAAAUAGUGAUUAACGAGCCUAGGGACGCACGUGUCACAGAAAUAUCAAAGAAAAAUCAGGCUGUAAUAGAAAAAAAAAAUUUAAAAAGCUGCAUAAAGACUCGGCUUUUCUAGUACCCAGACCUCCCACGUUCAAGCGGUUUUAGUUACAGAUACACGGUAGGACCUGGGUACGAGAUAAGACUUGACCUAACCUGAUGUGCGUUUCUCCGCCCGAGGGAAGAUUUGAGACGAGUCGGGGAAAAGCAUGCAGGGGAUUUGGCCCUAAUUAUCAGUACUUAGCAUUCGCCAGACCUCUCGCAGGCUCGUGUUACUCUAGGCCUCAUACUUACCGCGGGCGAAGAAACUUCCGUGCCGAAGCUCUAAGGUCAGAUUUCACUACUCCCUCAAAAAGCAGAACAAAUCGCUAAAGAAGAUUUACGUCACUUUCUUUGUGAACUAGGCAGCUACAACAAUAUUAUUCAUUUCCGUUACCAAGUAUAUGUUGACAUAAAGAUUAUCAUAAAUUAUAACAUAAUGAAAAUAGUGCGCAUCGUCUGAUUGGUGAAUUCGGUUUUCAAGUGGAUGCUUUAUCAGGUUAUGGAGCGAUAGAACGCAGGUUAUUAGGUUAUAGAGCAAUACAACGCAUUUUUUUUCGGGCUCUUAUAACGUGAUAAACUCUCUUGAGAUGUUAGGAGAACACGAGGACAGUUUAUAAAUCCCUCGCCUUCGGAUCGUGAUUUGUAAGCUUUCCUCGUAUUCUCGCAGUAUCCCGCGUGGCUUUAUCCCGGAGAAACGUGUUCUAUUGCUUAAAAGUAUCUUCAUGAAGGUCAGAAAAUCUCUAGUGCCCCAUGAAGGCGCGGCGAAGAGUAACAAAAAUUCAAAGAAAAACUUUUUCAAUGUAAAAAUACAGUAUAUUAGUUACGAAAGAUAACUUCUGAAUAAAAACAACAAAUUCUUGAA
rnacentral:lncRNA from 1 species